rnacentral:sRNA from 1 species
UAUUCUGCCCCAUGGGGAAGGAUGAGAAGCUUCGACUAAGGUUCGACUCGAGCGAAGCGAGAGAACGUUGCCACAGGCAACGGCCCGAAGGGCGAGGCGCUUUAGCGCGGAGUAAUCCUUCCCCCACCACCA